GAACAUGGUUUACUCCAAUAAUCAAUAUCACCAAGUUGUUUUUCUAUGGCCACAGAGAAAAGCUUUAAAUUAAAACAAAUAAAAGAAUUUAUCCAUCUCAUGACAAAGAUAAUGAGAGGAGCAAAACAGUACAUUUAUUGUUUGUAUCAAAAAAAUAAAAAUAAUCAAAGAGUAAUAUUUUAGCAAUCUUAUUACAAUACCAACAAAAGAAAAAAUAGUCAAUCACUUAUAUAAGAAUCAAGUGAGAGAAUAUACCACACCAACUUAAACUGCUUAACGCACUAAAUAGAUAAAUUUCUCAUCUCAUAAACUCUCGCACAUUAUUUCAUUUAAUAUAAGACUAAGUAUCAUUCACACUUGUUACUUAUCAAUACUUACCCAACAGAAAAGCAACUUAUUUUUAUUGUCUCUUAUCAAAUGAUCAACAAUUCUUUUAACAUGUUAUUACAAACAGAAAACCAAAACUGAUUAUUGAAAUAUAUUUUGAAACAAAAUGGAAGAAUACUACAAACUAAAUCAAGAAAGUUAUAAUUAUUUGUUGAAAAGAUAGUUGAAGAGUACCUUUUUUCGAUAAAGGUUUGAUGCAAAUGUUUCGUGAGUCAAUUUAGAAAACAUAUUGCAAGCAAACAAUUAUUGAAGGAUAUAAUGCAUGACACAGAUAUGUAAAUCUAGCACCUUGUAAGCUCUAAAUAAGAUGACUAUUUCUUGCCAUUGCAACUAUGAAACUCCAGAACAAUAAACAAUGUAAAUAAUAAAUAAUUAACCCAGAAAGAAAGUGAAUGAAGAAACUUCUUCAUAUCAAGCUUCAUCAGUCACCAAACCCAACAGCAGCAUAGGUUACAAUUUAACCAAGCCAGUUAAUACCCCUUUUUUCAAUUUCAAAACAGCGACCUCAUGGUGCAACCUUUGGGACAACACCCUGACCUUCUUGCACGACACAAAGAAAAUCAUUAGACAUCACAUGUAAUCACUGAUAACAACAACAUAAUACUGUGAUAACAACAUAUAAAACUAAAGUAGCAGAAUUUCAAAUAGCAAAAACACCUAAUGAAAACAACCCAAAGCAUAUGAAAGCAAGGCAGCAAAACAAAUCCCCUUGCAUAAUUUAAUGUCAUAAUUCAAUUUGGUUGACUGAAAUAAUAAAGCAAUAUAAGAAAAUUAAAAUGUUAAUCAGUUGAGCAAUAUUUAGAUAUCGAUAGCUAAAAUUGAAGUAUAAGAGAAACUAACAAACGAUUCUACAUUGAUGUAUAAAUUGAGCAAGAUAUUCACCUUUGCCAGUUCAAAAUCAGCAAGGUUGACAAAUCCGUGUGCAUCCACCAAUAUAUUUGAACAUUUACUAUCCCUUUAGAUUAGGAAAAUUCAAAGUAUGAAUGUAAAACUCAAAGUGAGAUCAACCUUGCUUCUAUAUUAAAAGGAAAAAUAGACAAUUUUUAGUGUAACCCCUGCAAUAAUGAAGAAACUUAAAAUAAUAAAAAUAAGUAACUUACUUCUACAUACAAAGAAAAAUGAUGCGGAGAAGAAGUGACCAGCGCCUAAUGAUUAGACAUAUUGACAAUAAAGAAGAUGAGUUUCCUGCUUCUACAUACAAAAAAAAUUAUGGCCAGUUUCUAUUGUAGCCCUGCAAAAUUACCAAGAAGUGACCAGCACCAGUGAUAGAAAAUGUAAAUGAGAAAGUAGUACGAAGCAAAAUUUAUAUAAUAUUUUACUUAAGAAAAAUAUUAUCUACAAAAUUAUAAGAAAAAGUCAAGUUUCUUAUGUAUAUUUGAUAGGGGCUGAGACAUGUCUGUCUAUAUACUUCAAUCACAAUUUCAAAAGGAGAAGGCAUACCUUAAACUUCGCAGCUCUAAAGGAACCUUCACAUGAAUAGAAAAAAAAACCCAAAAAAAUUGGAUCCUUUCUGAAACACAAAAUAGAGAAAACCCAUCAUAGAAAAAAGGAAAAAAUCAGAAUCACUUGUAACAAUCCAGGCGCAAAUGAAGACAUAAAGUUUUCACAUUUCAAUCGAAAAAGAUAAAAAAACAAAACGAUAAACUUUUGGUUUACGAAGAAUCAAAGAGCAAUUAAAGUUACCGUUUUGAACGGAAUGGAGGAAUGAGAAAAGCUGGGAGAAUGCUUGUGUUGUUUUUGUUGUAUCCGAAAAAGAAGGAAUAUUUGAAGAAGGAGGUAUUGUUCUGUGUUACAAAGAAAUCAGAAUAGAUAGAAAGAGACAUGGCAUGGACCUCAGAGAUGGCAGAAGAGAGGGAAAAAUGCAGAAAAGCAGCAAAAAACAAAGAGAUUUAU
rnacentral:lncRNA from 1 species